UACUAAAAGAAGAGUUUGUAACGAAAUGUAUUGCUGGUUGUGCUGGGCAGGUUUUGGAGAGCUCAUUAGUGGAUUGUGGUUUCUUCUCGAAAGCGUUUGGAUUCUCUGCCAUGACUCACACUAACAGGAAGGCUGAUGAAAUAUCUCCAGCGGUAACUGGAAUGUAUUCUCUUUAUGACUUAAAGUGAGAUUCACUAACAUCAGAAUUAGAUAUGAUCACAACUGAAUAGCAGCAGAAAAGUGAAGCAUGUUUGUGGUAAAAUAAUAUUUUACCCUUUUGAGCCCUGACCCAUCUCAAGUCAGAGAAUAAUUGGACAUGCAGCACCAGUGCAGAUGGCUGGCCCUCUGAAAGGGGCCUGACUUGCUUUGAAGACAUGUUCCAGUGAGUUACAAUGCCUUAUCACUAGGAGGGGGCAUCCAGGCAUUUCUGUUUCUGUGUUUUAUGGAACAGAUAGAAGAUAUCUGGAAAUUUGGAUAAUUAGUGACAAGAUACAGUCCAUUGUUUUGAGGAAGUCAGGAUGGGAAUUCCAGAAGCCAGUCACAUCACAUCUGCAAGAGCAAGCAAGAGUCAAGAGCAAGCAGAGAACCAAUGCAUCUUUACUUGCUCUAAGUGAGCUUUCUCCUUUCUCAUACUCUUCAGGACUACUGCCACACCUAAGGAAAGAUGUCACAACAAGCUGGGUCUUCCCACAUCAAGUAACCAUCAAGAUUAAUAUUUCUCAGACAUACCCACAGGCCAGCUUGUUCUACAUUGUCAACUCAAGUCAUCAGUUAAAACUAACCAGUACAAAGAAAAAUGCAAAUCAAAAUCCCAUAACACCUCAGAAAUAGCCACAAUGGUUCAGCUGUUUUAUUAGGGGGGUUGUAUUUUCUGGUCUUCACUGGAAGUUGACCAGAUAUUAAUGUGUAAUGCUCUGCUCUAGUAAUACUGCUUUUCUAACUACUUUGAAAUACAAGAUGUUCAGAUGUGGAGGCUUUCCCAUGGAAAGAGGGAACUGCCUUGCAGUUUUCCAGUGAUCCUACAUUUUAUAGUCACAACAACAACACACCUCAAUGCUGGUUUCUGCACAUCUUCACAAUACUUAUUUUCUAUACAUAUUUAUGUUUAUA
rnacentral:lncRNA from 1 species